AUUACCUUGGCAGAAUAAGUGCGUUGAAUUUAGAAUUCAACAAUGUGAUUAUGUAUUACAGGUAGUA
rnacentral:tRNA from 1 species